CUCGCGGGGCAGCCCGCGGCCGCCGGGAGGGAGCGGCCCCGCCGAGGGCGGCCAUCUUUACUAGUGGCAGCGAGGGCCGCCCCGGACGCCGAGGGUCUGUUCACGGCGCUCUUCUGCGCAACAGAAGUUUUGUUGGGGGUUCCCCUUUUUUUUUUACUUGGCGGCAACCCAUCACUGGCACCCUAAAAGGAACACUCCAUUUUAUUGUGUGUCAGUACACUGUCCAUGGACAUUGCAAAAGAAAGGAAACUGCAGUUUUGCAUAAUCUCCAUAUAGCAACAGCCGCCCGUGCUUCUGUGGAACACACGGUGUUCUUUGGCAGCCGCGGUGCUCGGAGCCGGCACUUGGCUUGCUGUGCGCAGUAGACAGAGCAGAGGACCGCGUCUUCCCAGAGCCUGGGUUUCUUCUGUCGCACAGCCUGCUGGUGAAGGUUGCAUGAGAUAAAGACUACGAUGGAACCCUGUCAUCUGGACCCUGUGAUCUCUGAAUUUGUGUAAAACUUAAAUGGGUAGCAUGCAGGGAGAAGUUACCAUGGGACACCAUGACUGGGAAGGGCAUUUCUGAGCCACUCUAGCACUGAGCCACCUUCAAGCCUUUCCUAAAAGCAUAGGCACCCAAGGCUGCUCGAAGGUCAAGGACUUGGCUGCUGGCUGCAUCAUAAGACCUCUGAAUCUCCGGCCUUUUCCUCCCAUUCUUUGCCAGUGCUCACUACAUUUACAAGGGAGUCUGGAGGGCAGGAAUCCCCACGCCCACAGCUGGGCAACAAGGUCAAGGGUGUCAAAAUCCAGGCCCAGAAAAGCAGCAAAACCAGGUGGGCAACACCAGGACC